GAUGAACGCUGGCGGUAUGCUUAACACAUGCAAGUCGAACGGACUCUUCGGAGUUAGUGGCGGACGGGUGAGUAACGCGUGAGAAUCUGGCUUUGGGUUCGGGACAACCACUGGAAACGGUGGCUAAUACCGGAUGUGCCGAGAGGUAAAAGAGAAAUUGCCUGAAGAUGAGCUCGCGUCUGAUUAGCUAGUUGGUGAGGUAAAGGCUCACCAAGGCAGCGAUCAGUAGCUGGUCUGAGAGGAUGACCAGCCACACUGGGGCUGAGACACGGCCCAGACUCCUACGGGAGGAAGCAGUGGGGAAUUAUCCGCAAUGGGCGAAAGCCUGACGGAGCAAUACCGCGUGAGGGAAGAAGGCUCUUGGGUUGUAAACCUCUUUUCUUAGAGAAGAACAAAAUGACGGUACCUGAGGAAUCAGCAUCGGCUAACUCCGUG
rnacentral:rRNA from 1 species